rnacentral:rRNA from 1 species
GGAGGAGAAGAAACUAACCAGGAUGCCCCUAGUAAUGGCGAAUGAAGCGGGCAUAGCUCACGCCGCCAAUCUGAAGGCCUAAUUCUUAUUACAGAAGCCUUCCGAAUUGGAAUCUAAAAAGGCGCCCUCCGGCGCCUCCGGCCCUCAAAUCCCUUGGAACGGGGUAUCGGAAAAGGUGAAAAUCCUGUGGCGCGGCGGAUAGCGGUCGCACGAUGCGUCCUUGUCGAGUCGGGUUGCUUGGGAUUGCAGCUUGAAGUGGGUGGUAAAUUCCAUCUAAAGCUAAAUACUGGCGAGAGACCGAUAGCGAACAAGUACCGUGAGGGAAAGAUGCAAAGAACUUUGAAAAGAGAGUUAAAGAGUGCUUGAAAUCGGCAAGAGGAAACCCGUUUGCGCCCGGCCUCGCGUCGUCGACUCAGCCGUUCUUUUGAGCGGUGCACUUUGUCGUCGCGGGUCAGCGUUCGCUCUUUCGGCGUGACACGGCGUACCGCAGGGCCUUUUGGCGAUCGGUUCGCACUCUCGCGGGAGGGGCGUUGCUGA